AUGAGUUUUAUAUUUGAUGACCAUAGUGUGACGAAUGCAUAUGCAGGGGUCGCAACUCCCUCGUCUCAAGUUGAUGCCUCUCAAAUUAACAUUGAAGAGGAUAAUGAGGACGGCUCGGGAUGUGAGUUAGAUGUUAACCAAGUUACACCCACCAAUGUUUCAUCUAAAGGUCGAAAGAAGAGAUCAUGUCCUUAUUCACCGAGUCCCAAGAUGGUCCAAAAGGCGGCAAAAGAUAGUGAUGAUAAAAUGGUAUUUAACCGUAUGGUUGACCUUUGGGAGAGGAGGGAGAUUAGUCGCAAUUCGGCGACGUCUCAAACAAAUGUGGAUCAUGUGAGAGAUGAGAUAAAAGAGAUGACGACCAUGGUGGUGAACGAUGGAGGCCGGCCUGGAAGUGAUGUGUAUUUCUAUGCUCUACAGCUGUUUAUGAAGAAGGAACAUCGUGAUGUAUUCAGUGCCCUCAAGGAUGAGACUGCUAGUGUGAGGCUUGAAUGGAUCAAGAGGACAUGGGAUCUCUUUAUGAAAAAAGAUUAG
rnacentral:rRNA from 1 species